CUGGCAUUGCCUAGUACGGCGAGUGAGCGGCAACAGCUCAAAUUUGAAAGCUAGCCUUCGGGUUCGCAUUGUAAUUUGUAGAGGAUGCUUUGGGUAAAACGCCAGUCUAAGUUCCUUGGAACAGGACGUCAUAGAGGGUGAGAAUCCCGUAUGUGACUGGAAAUGUUAACCUAUGUAAAGCUCCUUCGACGAGUCGAGUUGUUUGGGAAUGCAGCUCUAAAUGGGAGGUAAAUUUCUUCUAAAGCUAAAUAUUGGCGAGAGACCGAUAGCGCACAAGUAGAGUGAUCGAAAGAUGAAAAGCACUUUGGAAAGAGAGUUAAAAAGCACGUGAAAUUGUUGAAAGGGAAGCGCUUGCAAUCAGACUUGUUUAAACUGUUCGGCCGGUCUUCUGACCGGUUUACUCAGUUUGGACAGGCCAGCAUCAGUUUCGGCGGCCGGAUAAAGGCUCUGGGAAUGUGGCCUCCACUUCGGUGGAGGUGUUAUAGCCCAGUGUGUAAUACGGCCAGCCGGGACUGAGGUCCGCGCUUCGGCUAGGAUGCUGGCGUAAUGGUUGUAAGCGACCCGUCUUGACC
rnacentral:rRNA from 1 species